rnacentral:lncRNA from 1 species
ACAGCCUCUGGCAGUAGUACGGCGAUCGAAGGAGUCGACCGACCUUAGAUCGGUGGCCGGCUGAGUGGCAUCGGGUGGAGAUUCGGACCCCUCCGACGGUCAGUCGGGCACGUUGCGGGAGUCGGCCAUCGGACUCCCUGGUGCAGUCGGUAGAGAGCCGUUAAUCGGUCGGUAAUGGCGCCCGACGAUCGGUCGAUCGAUCGGUCGGUCGGUCGAUUGGUCGGUCGGUUGGGUAUGCCCGACUAUGAGUCGGCAUGAGCGGGAUCGGUCGGUAAUCCCCAACAGUUGCCCCCCUCCACUCCUUAGUCGGACG